AGAGUUUGAUCAUGGCUCAGGAUGAACGCCGGCGGUGUGCCUAAUACAUGCAAGUCGAACGCGUUGGCCCAACUGAUUGAACGUGCUUGCACGGACUUGACGUUGGUUUACCAGCGAGUGGCGGACGGGUGAGUAACACGUAGGUAACCUGCCCCAAAGCGGGGGAUAACAUUUGGAAACAGAUGCUAAUACCGCAUAACAAUUUGAAUCGCAUGAUUCAAAUUUAAAAGACGGCUUCGGCUAUCACUUUGGGAUGGACCUGCGGCGCAUUAGCUUGUUGGUAGGGUAACGGCCUACCAAGGCUGUGAUGCGUAGCCGAGUUGAGAGACUGAUCGGCCACAAUGGAACUGAGACACGGUCCAUACUCCUACGGGAGGCAGCAGUAGGGAAUCUUCCACAAUGGGCGCAAGCCUGAUGGAGCAACACCGCGUGAGUGAAGAAGGGUUUCGGCUCGUAAAGCUCUGUUGUUAGAGAAGAACGCGCGUGAGAGCAACUGUUCACGCAGUGACGGUAUCUAACCAGAAAGUCACGGCUAACUACGUGCCAGCAGCCGCGGUAAUACGUAGGUGGCAAGCGUUAUCCGGAUUUAUUGGGCGUAAAGCGAGCGCAGGCGGUUUGAUAAGUCUGAUGUGAAAGCCUUUGGCUUAACCAAAGAAGUGCAUCGGAAACUGUCAGACUUGAGUGCAGAAGAGGACAGUGGAACUCCAUGUGUAGCGGUGGAAUGCGUAGAUAUAUGGAAGAACACCAGUGGCGAAGGCGGCUGUCUGGUCUGCAACUGACGCUGAGGCUCGAAAGCAUGGGUAGCGAACAGGAUUAGAUACCCUGGUAGUCCAUGCCGUAAACGAUGAGUGCUAGGUGUUGGAGGGUUUCCGCCCUUCAGUGCCGCAGCU
rnacentral:rRNA from 1 species